rnacentral:rRNA from 1 species
CCUGAGAAACCCAAAAGAUCGAAUGGGGAGAUUCAUCGUCAGCGGCUCUGGCUUCCGUGCGGUACGCGAUGGCGGGGACCUCGGUCUCGCGUCACGCUGCCGCUGCGGCAUGUCCGGAGUCGUCGGCGUGCACUUCUCCCCUAGUAGGACGUCGCGACCCGUUGGGUGUCGGAUCGAUGGCCGGUCGGUCGUCUGUUGCGCUCGCGCUUCAGACCGAUUCGGUCGAAAGUCCGGCUGCCCGGCGGUAUUGAACGAUAUGAACUGGUAUCGGGCCGCAUCGAAUGCGUUCAGGCUCGUCGGCAGGCUCGUCUCGCUCGGAUUUACGGACCUAGCGCCGUUGCCGGGUGCUUGGCGCGGCUGUUAGUCGACGAUGUCCUCGGACUGGCUCUUACCCGUCGGCGACGCUACUGCUUUGGGUACUUUCAGG